CCGGCUCGGAUUGAUUGUCAAUAAUACGCUCAACCUUGAUAAAGUAUCCGAAUAUCUGCAGUCGAUGAGUGAGGACGUUCGGAGCACGGUUAUCGCAGCGUACAGAAAAUGUGAAGCUAAAACGACUGGAUCACAAGGCGUUUGCCAUUCAUAUGCAGUGGAUCUUGAAAGUUGCGCUCUGGACGAGAUCUACCGACAAUGCCCGGAUGAGCUUUAUAAUCCGAGUGAAUUAUGCGACAAGAUAAGGGCAGGCGUCGAAUUAUGCUUAAGAAAACCGAAGAUCUGAAAAAGCUAUUCAGUAGUGGGAGAAUAA